rnacentral:rRNA from 1 species
UCUAUACGGUGAAACUGCGAAUGGCUCAUUAAAUCAGUUAUCGUUUAUUUGAUAGUACCUUACUACUUGGAUAACCGUGGUAAUUCUAGAGCUAAUACAUGCUAAAAACCCCGACUUACGAAGGGGUGUAUUUAUUAGAUAAAAAACCAAUGCCCUUCGGGGCUCCUUGGUGAUUCAUAAUAACUUAACGAAUCGCAUGGCCUUGUGCCGGCGAUGGUUCAUUCAAAUUUCUGCCCUAUCAACUUUCGAUGGUAGAGUAGUGGUCUACCAUGGUUUCAACGGGUAACGGGGAAUUAGGGUUCUAUUCCGGAGAGGGAGCCUGAGAAACGGCUACCACAUCCAAGGAAGGCAGCAGGCGCGCAAAUUACCCAAUCCCGACACGGGGAGGUAGUGACAAUAAAUACUGAUACAGGGCUCUUUUGGGUCUUGUAAUUGGAAUGAGUACAAUUUAAAUCCCUUAACGAGGAACAAUUGGAGGGCAAGUCUGGUGCCAGCAGCCGCGGUAAUUCCAGCUCCAAUAGCGUAUAUUAAAGUUGUUGCAGUUAAAAAGCUCGUAGUUGAACCUUGGGCCUGGCUGGCCGGUCCGCCUCACCGCGUGCACUGGUCCGGCCGGGUCUUUCCUCCUGGGGAGCUGCAUGCCCUUCACUGGGUGUGUCAGGGAACCAGGACUUUUACUUUGAAAAAAUUAGAGUGUUCAAAGCAGGCCUAUGCUCGAAUACAUUAGCAUGGAAUAAUAGAAUAGGACGUGUGGUUCUAUUUUGUUGGUUUCUAGGACCGCCGUAAUGAUUAAUAGGGAUAGUCGGGGGCAUCAGUAUUCAAUUGUCAGAGGUGAAAUUCUUGGAUUUAUUGAAGACUAACUACUGCGAAAGCAUUUGCCAAGGAUGUUUUCAUUAAUCAGUGAACGAAAGUUAUGGGAUCGAAGACGAUCAGAUACCGUCGUAGUCUUAACCAUAAACUAUGCCGACUAGGG